UGUAACUGCACAAGAAAGACAGACUGAUUUGGCAUGCGAGAAAGAAAAAAAACGCAGGCUGUGACAGAUGAACAAGUACAUUGCAACAUUGAAGAGAUGGGCUUUGUAUCAGAAAACUGGUGACGGAGUUGGAAAUCACGUGUGAUGGAUAAUGAACUUCACCUGCACCCGAGAACAUAAUGAAAAGUGCAGAGUGGCUGUGCAGUUGGAUUGCAGAAUCUUCAAACUGCACAUGGAAGCUGACUACACAACACUUGCACAGCUUUUCUACAGUUGAAUAUUACAGUAUACAAAAUUACAGGAGCAAUGCUGGCAGUUUUAAUAUGUAGGCCUCAUUAAUUGCAUAUUAUUAUUAUUAUUAUUAUUAUUAUUAUUAUUAUUAUUAUUCAGUGCUGUAGUUAGGCUCUGCACUCAUUUAAAAAGACCACAACCACAUCAAUACUCAACAAUAAUAAAACAAUUCAAUUCUGUGUGUGUAAUUCCACUUUAAUAAACGAUGUAUUCAGAAUUGUGUCAUGGAAAUAACACUUACUGGCAUAUCCAGCAUUUAAAUGAUCUCGCUCUAACACCUUAAAUAAAAAUUCAAAUCCAAGGCUGCAUAUACCCCUAUAAUCCUCUUUACAGAUUAAGAAAUUAAAUGUAUUUUCAAAAGUUAUCCCUCUCCAGGGAUGUGUAUCCCUGCAUCAUGGAGGCAAGUGUACAUACGUGUCACACUUCAUAAUUUUGCAUAUAUCUAUAGAACCACAUGUCCUAUUGCGAUGGAACUUGCUACAAGUUGUUACAGUACUUGUAUCAUUAUAUCCAUGUUAAUAGAUGCUUACUGACUGUACAGUUGUCACACUUACAUUUUUACAGAAAACCACUUAUCCAAUGAAGAUGAAACAUGCUUCUGACCUUGAGCACAAGCGAUUAACUGUAUCAUAAUCUCAGGGUAUUUGAAGCUGUCUGCCUGUCUGUCGGACUGCCUGUAUGUUACACUAUGUUUGUACAGUAAUGCAACUUGAUAUUCUUUAGCACAAGUGUUUAAGUGUACUGUAUCAUAAUCUGGGCUGUAUAGAGUCUACUUGUCUGUCUGCCUGUCUGUACAGUAUUUCACACUUACAUUUUUUCAUUUAUUGAGAGAACCCAUAUCAGAUACUGAUGAAACUUGUCUGGGCACAUGUGGCGGGGUACACCCCGCCCCUGUGUGUAGUGUAUAAUUUUGUAUUAUUAUUUAAAUGUAUUGUUUAGUUUAUAAAAACACAAUGUUUUGGUUAUUAUUAUUUGACAGCCUGGAUGGGGUUAAAAUGCCCCAUCUAGAUAAAAUCGUGAGAAUGCAUGGUCAACAGCGAGUGAUUAUUGACAAACUGGCUGUUGACCACGCAUAUGAGAAACCCUGUGCCGAAUGUGGUCAAGGGAGUGUUCUGUUUUGUUUAAACCUUUUAUCUGUUAUUAAAUAUGUGCACAAGCGUAUU